AGAAAAACAAUGAUAGUUAAUUGUAAAAGCAUAGAAAGGAUUGGGAUUAAGAGAGGAAUGAAUAGCCUUUCCUAUCGCAAGAGAAAGUUCAGGUGCAGAAAUGUAGGCGAAAGGGAGGUUGAAGCAGGAGAUGAUGCUAAAGGAUUAAUAGAGUGAGUCACAAUUGGAGUUUGAAUUUGUCUAUGGUAUUCAAGCAAAGGACAUUGAGGGGAAAAUAUCAUCUAAGCUAGAAUAGGCGAGACUUCUAAAGGCUUGACUAUAAUAUUCAUAUUCAAUAUAGUGGAAGUAUAAAAGGGGUUAGUCUAAAAAAAUGUGACAUCAACAAAAACUAUAUAACGUUGAAGUUGAGGACAAAAACAAUGAUAACCCUUCUGAAGAGGUGAGUAACCAAGGAAAAUACAUUUGAGGGAUUUGG
rnacentral:lncRNA from 1 species